ensembl:misc_RNA Y_RNA Y RNA
GGCUGGUCCGAUUGUAGUGGGUUACCAGACUUAGUAACAUUAAUAUCACUAAAGUUAGUAUACAGCUCCCCAUUGCUAAAUUAGACUGGCUGUAA